CAGGCCUAAACAUGCAAGUCGAACGAGAAAGGGAUCUUCGGAUCCCGAGUAGAGUGGCCACGGGUGAGUAACACGUGGAUAACCUGCCCUGUGAUUCGGGAUAACACUCGAAAGGGGUGCUAAUACCGGAUAAGCCCACGACUUCCUCGGAAGAUGGGGAAAAGAUUUAUCGUCACAGGAUGGGUCCGCGGUCCAUUAGCUAGUUGCAGGGUAAUGGCCUACCAAGGCGACGAUGGAUAGCUGGUCUGAGAGGAGAUCAGCCACACUGGAACUGAGACACGGUCCAGACUCCUACGGGAGGCACAGUGGGGAAUUUUGCGCAAUGGGGGAAACCCUGACGCAGCAACGCCGCUGAAGGAUGAAGGCCUUUGGGUCGUAAACUUCUGUCAGAGGGGAAGAAAGCCCGAAAGGGAGCUGACGGUACCCUCAAAGGAAGCACCGGCUAACUCCUGCCAGCAGCCGCGG
rnacentral:rRNA from 1 species